UCAACCUUACUCACAAAAUCGUUCUCUCCAACUCACGUCUCUCACAUCAUAACCCUCUCUCAAACGUGCGUUUUUCUUAAUCGCUUCCGAAUCAUAAAAGAAAUCAAUGGCUGAAGCAAAAAAAGCGCUCACCUCCGGCGGUAAAGACGGCAAUGAUGAAGCUUCAAACUCUUUCAACUCUUCAAACCAGGUUUAUCUUUGAUUCUCCGGUUUAGGGUUUUUUUCUGUUUGGUAUCUUUUAAUGCCGCCUCCGAUUUUUUCGAAUUGUAGCUUCCUCUCUCCUCACUAAUCCCUUCACUAUUUAUCCUCUACGAAUUAGGGUUUUCAGGAUGGCAUAUGGAGCUCAAAAGAGUAUCCUGCAAAACCCCCUUCUGGGUGGUCAGGGUUCGGUCGCCCUAAUCGAUGCUUGGGUUGGAACAG
rnacentral:lncRNA from 1 species